AUUUUACAGUAUAUUCUGGAAUUUAAAACCUAGAACUAGUUGGAGUUUUCCUCACUGGAUGGGCUCCUAGCCACUGACAGUGCUGUCUGACAACCAGUCAUUCUUGGGCUCCAGGCCAAUUUCUUUAAUGAAUCUCUCUAAUUUAAUUCAUAUUUUCCCACCUCUCUAUUAAGUACCAUCCAGGCUCAUCGAGCCUAAUAUUUGAACCAAACACAUUUAAUGACUGUCCCCUCAUUAAACAUUACAAGCUCUUUAAGGCUUUGGCAGACGGGUGCCCCAUUCGAUAACCUGGUGCCCCGGCAAAGUCAACAGCCAGUGCCAAGUUCAUCCCUCUGCUUCCCAUCUUACAGCUGGGCUAGAUCCUUGUGGGUGAGACAGGCUUUAUCACCAGGGAAGUGUAAGUUUUCCAGGCCAAUGGAUUCAGCGCGCUGGCUAUAUCUCAUGCCUUGACACUAGAUGUCAGCGAAGGGUAAUUGUUGUCUCAAUUUAGAGGCCAGCUCAGGUAGCUGCUGGCAUCCUCGGUUCAUGUUUUAUAGCAAAGGUGAAGUAUGGCUCCGUUCCCACUGCACACAUAUAUUACAAUAAAAGGGGAUCUCGGCUCCUACUGUUUUUAAAGGCUAGUCAUAAAAGAUGAAUAACGAGGCAGUUUAAAGCUAAAAGACAGCUGCCAAGCUCAAUGGCCAUGAUGGAUGCUGAACACCCAGUGUGGAGAAAACCCUUUCCUUCGAGACCACCAUCCAAAAAAUUAAUUACUACAAUUCAGCAUCUUUAAAUGUGCCACUUAAUAUACUGCUACCAUAAUUAAAUUUCCAGCCCUGUGACCUUGAGACCAUUUCCUGAGAUAAUAAAUGAGAUCAAGGUUUAAUCGAUGCGGAUGCAAGUAGAAACUGUCCAAGGAUGCAAAGAGCUUCGCUCUGUGAGUCAAGAAAUGGCACUGAAUUGGGAGCCAGGAGACUAGCAUUCUGGUCAGAGCUGUGUUGCUAAAAUUCUGUUCGACCUCAGUGGCAUCCCUUCUCCCUGGGUACUGGAGGCUGUUCUCUCUAGAAAGAAGAACCAGACAACAUGCUCGCCACCAUUCUUCCUAUAGUGUUUUUGUUACGCUUUAUGAGAGAAACUCAUCAGCUGCCCCUUUCCCUCCCCGUACCAACUCUCCUUUAGAAACUGUAUGGGAAGCAGUUAGGUUUCUCUGCCAACUACCGGGGGCUUAUGGGUGGUAAUGGGGGUUGGGGGGUGAUGGAGUUUGCUAAUAUCGCCCCCAGUAGAAUGUCACUGUCUUAAUAGCCAGGUUCCAGGAGGGCUGUGGGUACCCUUUGUCCAGGUAACUUAGAGUAGACUUAGUUCUUUGCCAAGUGAAGGGUUAAUUCUCAAAUGGAAGAGUACAGAAAACGAAAGGGUUUUGCAAAGAAUCUGGCUGAAAUGAAAGCCAAAGGCAGGCUUAAAGAGCAGGACCACAGGCAGGCGGAGAGCUAGGAGUGGAAGGGAGACUGGGUGAUCCUAACCUGGGCUUGGGGCCUGGGGUAGAGCGCUAUCAUGUUCUGCUUCAAUUAAAAACUACUGGACACCAACGAGGCACUAGGAACAGUGCUCAAGGCUGGUCCUUGCCCUCAGUUUGCUCAUAGCAUUUUAGGGAAAUGUGUAGAAAUCGUGGCACAACAGUGUCACAGAAUAAUAAUACAGAAAUGUGUAAGGAAUUGAUGACCUGGGGGGAUCCUUGUAGCUCUGCCUUUUUUUAGUCCCCUAUUCCCAGCAGGCUUUUUGACUACCUGCCAGUUGAUGGGUCUUUGUAGCAGGGCCCCUCUCCCCAAUAUUUGUUUGUAUUAAUGCAGGAAAGGUACUUCUCAUCUCUCUACAAGUUAUUUCAUUCUGUCAAGUUUUCCAACAUUAACUGCACGCAGGAUUUCUCCUCCCUGUUCAUCUACCAUGAGCAAAUGUGUGCAAGCGUGAAUCAGAGCUUCGCUGUGCCCAGAGCCGGCCUGGCCCUAUGUGGAGUACUGUUUUCAGGAUGGACUCAGCCUUUUAAGAGAGUUACAGUUUGAUGAUAAACUGGGAAGUAUCAAGAGGAAGGCGGCCAGCAUGUCAAGGUGCCAUCUCAUCAGAAGGAGCUGAAAUGUCUCUGAAGAGACUUGGUCACUAUCUUCAGAAGUCCAAGAAUGUACCACUCAGGAAGGAUGCUCAGGGGUGACCAUCCUAGGACAGGGUGCUCGACAUGGGAGGAUGACAGAAGGUGUCAAUUUUGACAGAGUUGCUUUUCUAAGCGUAUAAGGCCGCUCCUCCCAGUUGGAUGUGAAUCGCCUCCCUCCCUAACAGGACAGGCGCUGCUCAGGUUGUGGGAACCUGUGCCUGGGGUGGGGUGAAGUAGGGUAGCGUUAAACCCAGUCUCAGGCCAUGCUGGCCAACCCAGACUUAAGUUGGAGGACACUGAACUAAAGACUCUCAGCUUCCUGUUUAAAUGCUGCCUUCACGUGCAAACCUCAUUUCCAGGUGCUAUUUGGCAAAGGAAGUGGCUGUGUUAUGUUGUUGGGGGCUGAACUGGAACUGAUGGUAGAAUGUCCAGGGAGAUAGAUUUCUGUCCAUGUGAGGGAAACAUCCCAGAGGUAGAAGUCCCUACACACAAAAAGGACUCCCUACAAGCAGUGGGUGAGCUCCCCUUUUCGGGAAGCAUCUGCCUGGCUCCUUCAGAAGGAAAACCUACACCAGGUGGGAGGCUGGAUGAGCUGAUUUCCACGGCCUCCUCCAACUCUUCAGUUCCGUGAUCCAGUCACCUGGGGUCUUUUCAGUGAACAAAUAUUUAUUGAGCUCUUACAGUGUGACACGCACCAUGUAUUGAACACCUCUUGUACAUCACUUCAGGUCUUCUCAGACUGUCCUCUCGUGCCACGCACAGCUGCGGUGCCCAGUUCUCUGCAGACUUCAACCAGCUCCGUGGAGAGGCAGGCUGGCCAGGGCUUCGCUGCAGGCCUGCAUCACGGGUCCCUUGCUUCCCGCUUGUGCUUCUCCGAAGCUGUGUUGGAUGCCAGGAGAACCCACCUGGCACUCACGCCUGUGUAACCUGGAAUGGUG
rnacentral:lncRNA from 1 species